rnacentral:misc_RNA from 1 species
GAUGAAGAACGUAGCGAAAUGCGAUAAGUAAUGCGAAUUGCAGAAUCCGUGAGUCAUCGAAUCUUUGAACGCACAUUGCGCCCGCCAGCAUUCUGGCGGGCAUGCCUGUUCGAGCGUCAUUUCAACCCUCGAGCCCCCCCGGGGGCCUCGGUGUUGGGGGACGGCACACCAGCCGCCCCCGAAAUGCAGUGGCGACCCCGCCGCAGCCUCCCCUGCGUAGUAGCACACACCUCGCACCGGAGCGCGGAGGCGGUCACGCCGUAAAACGCCCAACUUUCUUAGAGUUGACCUCGGAUCAGGUAGGAAUACCCGCUGAACUUAAGCAUAUCAAUAAGCGGAGGA